GCAGUGAGGAAUAUUGGACAAUGGGUUAGCGCCUGAUCCAGCCAUCCCGCGUGAAGGACGACGGCCCUAUGGGUUGUAAACUUCUUUUGUACAGGGAUAAACCUACUCUCGUGAGGGUAGCUGAAGGUACUGUACGAAUAAGCACCGGCUAACUCCGUGCCAGCAGCCGCGGUAAUACGGAGGGUGCGAGCGUUAUCCGGAUUUAUUGGGUUUAAAGGGUCCGUAGGCGGACUCGUAAGUCAGUGGUGAAAUCUCACAGCUUAACUGUGAAACUGCCGUUGAUACUGCGGGUCUUGAGUAAGGUAGAAGUGGCUGGAAUAAGUAGUGUAGCGGUGAAAUGCAUAGAUAUUACUUAGAACACCAAUUGCGAAGGCAGGUCACUAUGUCUUAACUGACGCUGAUGGACGAAAGCGUGGGGAGCGAACAGGAUUAGA
rnacentral:rRNA from 1 species